rnacentral:rRNA from 1 species
AGAGUUUGAUUCUGGCUCAGGAUGAACGCUAGCUACAGGCUUAACACAUGCAAGUCAGGGGCAGCAUGAUCUUAGCUUGCUAAGAUUGAUGGCGACCGGCGCACGGGUGAGUAACGCGUAUCCAACUUCCCUAUAGUAGGGGAUAGCCCGUAGAAAUGCGGAUUAAUACCCUAUGUUGUAUUUUUGAGGACAUCUGACGAAUACCAAAGGUUCACCGCUAUAGGAUGGGGAUGCGUCUGAUUAGGUUGUUGGCGGGUAACGGCCCACCAAGCCUACGAUCAGUAGGGGUUCUGAGAGGAAGGUCCCCCACAUUGGAACUGAGACACGGUCCAAACUCCUACGGGAGGCAGCAGUGAGGAAUAUUGGUCAAUGGGCGAGAGCCUGAACCAGCCAAGUAGCGUGCCAGGAUGACGGCCCUAUGGGUUGUAAACUGCUUUUAUGCGGGGAUAAAGUGAGGGACGUGUCCCUUAUUGUAGGUACCGCAUGAAUAAGGACCGGCUAAUUCCGUGCCAGCAGCAGC